GAACGAGCCCUUAAUCUCUUUAACCAACCAGCCGCCGCCACCAAUCCUAACGGAACACACACACAAUCGCCGCCGCCGACAACCUAACGCCUCCCCACUUUAGAUUUUAUUAAAAUUCACUCUCUCAAAAUUUAAAAGAUACACAUACAUAUAGAAAUAGGAAAUCCAGUCAACCUCCAUCCGUCAAAAAAUGUUUAUGAUUUUUGAUAAUUAAGCUGCGAAAGGAGAAGUAUUCUGCCCUCUUCACGUUUCAAUUUUCGUUUUGAAGAUGGAAUUUGUUUAAAGUUUGAGUUUGAGAUCGAGUUUGGGUUCAAGAUUCCGGUACCGAUUCGAGAUCCCGUCCGGGGUUCGCGGUUCCUACUCGUUUGUAUUGCUGCUUCUUAAAUGAAUUUUUAGAUCCGAACUUUGGAAUUGUUGAUCUCUUCUGCCGCUAUUAAUUUUUUUUUGCUUCAACAGGUUCAUUUUGUUCCCUUAACUUAAUAUGGAUUAUUGUGAAUCAAACUUUAGGAGAUCCGUUAAAAGAUAGCUUAAAAUCAGUAGUGAUUUCUAUGAUCUCGUUUAAUUCCUUGAUCCAAAAUUAUGUUGCGUUGAUUGAGCUUCCUUUAAGUUUUAUUCCUUAGUAAAAUUUCUAGUUUGAGUGAAUUUAACUUGUAUUCAAAUAUUUAGUUUCAUACUGCUUUCACAUUGAAUUUGCAAUUAGUUGUUUGAGGUGUUUUUGAUAAAAUGAAGUAAAGUGUUCUGUGCACUUCUUUUUCUUUCUGCAAGUAAUGGCAUGAGCAUUUAAAGGUCUUCAUAAUUCACUUAUAAGGGUAUUCAAAAUAAUCAUGUGUUUUAGUGAUUUAAAUUAAAAGUAUUUGAAGUAUUGUGCUAAUUCAUUGUUUGAGUCGAAUAAAAUUCUCAAUUCAUCUUAUAGUUGAGAUAAUGUUCCAAUUAAAUGGGUAAAAUGCCUUGAACGUGGGAUUUACCAUACAGCUUUAAGAUUUUAGCCUUUCGGUGGUUUUUUGAGAAUUCCUGUUGUUAUAAGUACUUGGGUAGGCAAGCCGGAGGAUUAGUUUCGAGUCGGAGGUUGUUCCCUUAGUUAAAUUUAUCCGGGAAAUACCCCGAAGGAUUUGUAUAUAUUUUAUUCGGGGUAUGCCCCAAAGUAUUUGUAUUUGGAGGCUGAAAGUAGAGCUCUUAGUAUUUUUAUUUUUAUUUUCAUUUUCGUUUCUCUUUUAUUAGGUGGGGAUGACCUCUAGCCUCUUGUGUGUUUAUUUUAUUUUUGUGUCUUUGCCUCAAUUAAAAUAUUCUUUAAAGCCAGCUUGAUCAUGUGCGCAACCGUACUAGUUACGGGACUUAGGGAAUGCCUAAUACUUUCUCUCCGAGUCAAAUGAAUCCCCUUAUUCGAAUCUCUGGUGCAGACUUAGUUUGGAGUCCAAAGUAUUUUAAAAGGAAAAUAAUUUUAGAAACGGUGACCUGACACAUCGAAACCAAUGUCAGGUGGCGACUCUGAGUUAUUUUCUUUUGAACACAAUUUUGUCACUUUUUAAUUAAAAACCCUUUUGAGCUUUACAAAUCUUUUUUAUUAUUUAAAGAGGGUUUAGUGAGGUUAUAAAAAAGGGGUGUGACAACAAUGAGAUAUACUAAAUAUAAUCACUUCUAGUUUUUGUAUAUUUCUUGCAAAUUUUGCUAGAGUUU
rnacentral:lncRNA from 1 species